GUGUGGGUGGUAUAGUGGUGAGCAUAGCUGCCUUCCAAGCCGCUGACCUGGAUUCGUUUCUCAGCCAACACA
rnacentral:tRNA from 1 species